UUUUAUGGAUGAACAAAGAAAAUAGCUUCUUGAGAUGGAAUCUACUCCUGGCGAAGAUGCUGUGAA
rnacentral:pre_miRNA from 1 species